AACGAACGCUGGCGGCAUGCCUAACACAUGCAAGUCGAACGAGAUCUUCGGGUCUAGUGGCGCACGGGUGCGUAACGCGUGGGAAUCUGCCCUUUGGUUCGGAAUAACAGUUGGAAACGACUGCUAAUACCGGAUGAUGACGAAAGUCCAAAGAUUUAUCGCCAGGGGAUGAGCCCGCGUAGGAUUAGCUAGUUGGUGUGGUAAAGGCGCACCAAGGCGACGAUCCUUAGCUGGUCUGAGAGGAUGAUCAGCCACACUGGGACUGAGACACGGCCCAGACUCCUACGGGAGGCAGCAGUGGGGAAUAUUGGACAAUGGGCGAAAGCCUGAUCCAGCAAUGCCGCGUGAGUGAUAAAGGCCUUAGGGUUGUAAAGCUCUUUUACCCGGGAUGAUAAUGACAGUACCGGGAGAAUAAGCUCCGGCUAACUCCGUGCCAGCCGCCGCAGUAA
rnacentral:rRNA from 1 species